rnacentral:lncRNA from 1 species
GUCACUCCGCCCUUUCGCGCUCUCUGAUUCGCUCAGGCUUUUGCUCCGCCCCGUUGCCGCGCUCUGAUUCGCCGAGCGCCGUAGUCCCGCCUUUUACCCCUCCUCUGAUUGGCUCACCCGUCUCCCUCAGCAGGGCGAGGCCGGAAGUGGCGGUUUCCCGCCUUGCCGCCAUAUUGAGCCGUGAGGGGAGACGAGAACGUCUCUGAAACUUCCCCCAAAAACCCAAAAAUCCCCUCGGGACGCCCCAAAUCCACCCUAAAACCCCUCAGGGAACGCUCAAAAUCUCCUGGGGAACUCCCGGCCCGAGUUCUUUGCACAUUUGAAGGAUUUGCCUCCAGCUUUGCCUCAUUUCCCUCCGAGAUUCCCCUCAGGGUGCCGCAGGCUCAGGUCAGUUCAGGGAGAUUCGAUCCAUUUCUUACAUCCGGCUGCAUUUAAAUGUGUUUUAUUCACUCUUAAUGUUUUGCGAGGCACUUUCGGGGUCCCCACACGCACCAAACACACCCGGAGCGUCACUCAAAGCUUUUAUUGGUCUCAAUUUUAGGGGGGCUCUUUCCAAAAACAGCCCCACACCCCUAAAAAAACCCCCAGGGGGUGCCCACAGCCCCCCAAUCCUCCCCAUUCCUGAUUAUUGGGGUUCAGGGGGGGUGAGAACCCCCUAAAUUCUCAUUUUUGGGGUCCCUCCUCUUCCUCACCCGGGGGUCCCCCCGAUCCCAAUUUCCAAUUUUGGAUUUUGGGGGUUCAGGGCGUUUUUUCUCCCAUUUUCCACUGGGGUUCCUCCCCCCCCCCCCACAGAGUUUUGGGGUGCUGCCUCCUCAUCCUCACCCCAAAUUUGGCUCUUGGGGUUCAUCCCCAGCCCGGCCCUCGGGGUCCCUCCUCUUCCUCAGCUCCCCAGCAUCACUUUUGGGGUUCCAUCCCUCAGAAAUUUGGGGAUUUUGGGGCUCCCCGCCCUCCUGAAAUUUGGGGUUCGAGGGGUCCAAUCCCUCAGGGGUUUUAGGAUUUAUAGGAUCCCAUCCCUCAUGGAUUUUAGGGUUCAGAGGCUCCCCAUAUUCCUGAAUUUUAGGAUUUAGAGGUUCCCAUCCCUCAUGGAUUUUAGGAUUCAGGGUCUCCCUAGCCUCCUGAAUUUUAGGAUUCAGGGGCUCCCAUCCCUCAUGGAUUUUAGAUUUUAGGGGCUCCCCACAUUUUUGAACUUUAGGAUUCAGGGUCUCCCUAGCCUCCUGAAUUUUAGGAUUCAGGGGCUCCCAUCCCUCAUGGAUUUCAGGUUUUAGGGGCUCCCCACAUUUUUGAACUUUAGGAUUCAGGGUCUCCCUAGCCUCCUGAAUUUUAGGAUUCAGGGGCUCCCAUCCCUCAUGGAUUUCAGGAUUCAGGAGCUCCCCACCCUCCCCCUCACAGCGCUCCCGCCUCCUCCUCAC